UACGUAGGGGGCAAGCGUUGUCCGGAAUCAUUGGGCGUAAAGCGCGCGUAGGCGGCCCGGUAAGUCCGUUGUGAAAGUCAAAGGCUCAACCUUUGAACGCCGAUGGAUACUGCCGGGCUAGAGUCCGGAAGAGGCGAGUGGAAUUCCUGGUGUAGCGGUGGAAUGCGCAGAUAUCAGGAGGAACACCAAUAGCGAAGGCAGCUCGCUGGGACGGUACUGACGCUGAGGCGCGAAAGCGUGGGGACGAACAGG
rnacentral:rRNA from 1 species